rnacentral:rRNA from 1 species
UACGUAGGGAGCAAGCGUUGUCCGGAAUUAUUGGGCGUAAAGCGCGUGUAGGCGGCGUGGCAAGUCGGGUGUGAAAGCCCUCAGCUCAACUGAGGAAGUGCGCCCGAAACUGUCGUGCUUGAGUGCCGGAGAGGGUGGCGGAAUUCCCCAAGUAGAGGUGAAAUUCGUAGAUAUGGGGAGGAACACCGGUGGCGAAGGCGGCCACCUGGACGGUAACUGACGCUGAGACGCGAAAGCGUGGGGAGCAAACAGG